UACGAAGGGGGGCUAGCGUUGCUCGGAAUCACUGGGCGUAAAGGGUGCGUAGGCGGGUCUUUAAGUCAGAGGUGAAAUCCUGGAGCCUCAACUCCAGAACUGCCUUUGAUACUGAGGAUCUUGAGUUCGGGAGAGGUGAGUGGAACUGCGAGUGUAGAGGUGAAAUUCGUAGAUAUUCGCAAGAACACCAGUGGCGAAGGCGGCUCACUGGCCCGAUACUGACGCUGAGGCACGAAAGCGUGGGGAGCAAACAGG
rnacentral:rRNA from 1 species